GACGAACGCUGGCGGCGUGCCUAAUACAUGCAAGUAGAACGCUGAAGACUUUAGCUUGCUAAAGUUGGAAGAGUUGCGAACGGGUGAGUAACGCGUAGGUAACCUGCCUACUAGCGGGGGAUAACUAUUGGAAACGAUAGCUAAUACCGCAUAACAGCAUUUAACCCAUGUUAGAUGCUUGAAAGGAGCAAUUGCUUCACUAGUAGAUGGACCUGCGUUGUAUUAGCUAGUUGGUGAGGUAACGGCUCACCAAGGCGAUGAUACAUAGCCGACCUGAGAGGGUGAUCGGCCACACUGGGACUGAGACACGGCCCAGACUCCUACGGGAGGCAGCAGUAGGGAAUCUUCGGCAAUGGGGGCAACCCUGACCGAGCAACGCCGCGUGAGUGAAGAAGGUUUUCGGAUCGUAAAGCUCUGUUGUAAGAGAAGAACGUGUGUGAGAGUGGAAAGUUCACACAGUGACGGUACCUGCAGAAAAAGCACCGGCUAACUACAUGCCAGCAGCCGCAGUAACAC
rnacentral:rRNA from 1 species